rnacentral:rRNA from 1 species
ACGGAAUAGAUACCCGGGUAGUCCAUGCCGUAAACUAUGGAUACUAGCUGUUGGGGGUAUCGACCCCUCCAGUAGCGAAAGCUAAACGCGUUAAGUAUCCCGCCUGUGGAGUACGAUCGCAAGAUUAAAACAUAAAGGAAUUGACGGGGACCCGCACAAGCGGUGGAGCGUGUUCUUUAAUUCGAUGCUAAACGAAGAACCUUACCAGGGCUUGACAUCCCUUGAAUUACUCCGAAAGGAGUGAGUGCUUUAUUGAGCAAGGUGACAGGUGAUGCAUGGCCGUCGUCAGCUCGUGUCGUGAGAUGUUUGGUUAAGUCCAUCAACGAGCGCAACCCUUAUACUUAGUUGUAUUUUUCUAGGUAGACUG